rnacentral:misc_RNA from 1 species
AACGCAUAUUGCACUUUCUGGUAUUCCGGAGUUUGAGGGUCAGUUAAAUAAAAAUCGGCGUUGUUGCUGCCUUUCGUGGUGACGUGUCGGAGUUGGGUUGUCUUAACCUUUGGCUAAGUGGCUUAAAAUUUUGCAUGAUUUUCGAACGUAUUUAAAUUGCUUACACGUACGUUUGAGAUAUCUAACGUUUAUUAGGUUUAGUUAUCCUCAUGACUCGCGCCUAUAAUUUUCAUUGAAUGACCUCAAAUCAGGUAAGAAUACCCGCUGAACUUAA